CAACACAUGCAGGUAAAGAAGUAAGCUGAGACUUUCUACUUUCAAGUGGAAGUAUGGAAUCCAUGCUUCAGAUGUGCUCUGGCCUGAGCUACCACAUAGAAAGUAAAGGCCAACAGAUAUAUUGGGAAAUCAUUGCCUUCAAGUUUACCCUCCAAAUCACACAAUAUGCUGACUUGGGCUAUUUUGGUGCUUCGAGGCCGACAUCCGGGACCUCCCUUCCUAACAGCACUGAGAGUGUACCUGCACCAGAUAGACAAUAACACUUCAAGAUGAUGGUCGAUCUCCACUUUCUCAAGGUCUGAGGAAGGUCCGAUAGGCAAGGCCCGAUUACCAAUGCUGGAGCUGCAAGCCCCACCUCCCCGUGGAAUCUUGGACUCAAGGGCCAACUAUCGUAGGAACGUGACCUGACCCUGCAGUGACCUGACCAGACCACUUGCAAGACACCGUGAAUCACUGAAGGCUGUGACUGGUGCCCCGGACCCCACUGAGAACACAUUCUUGCCUCUUGGAGCAGCAGACUUCCCUCACCAAUGCCUGGGAUUGACUAGGAGCAGCCCAGGGAACACGGGAGAUGCACUGGACUUUGGGUAAAACUAAAACUUUGGGGUUUUGACCCCUGACCACGCCCAGCACAUUCCUGGCAAAUGUCCAAGCCAUUGAGGACAAAAUGGAUGACCUUAAAGUUAGACUCACCUUCCAAAGAGAGUUGAGGGACCGCUGUGUGCUGUUUUACAGAGAAAUGGCUACCUCCUGCUACACCUGACCUUGCCUUACAACCUGAGGGCUUCUCAGUUCACUGAAUGGACUGCUUGGCAUCCUCAGGCAAGACAAGGGACUGUGGAGUCUAUCUCCUAGUCAACAUCUCCCAGUGCUCAGCCGUGCUGACCCUGAUGAGUUACCGCUACCUGAACCUAAAAUGUUUAACAAUGAAAUGCAGUCCCUACUAUCUGCUGCAUGAGUUCACCUAGG